AUUGAACGCUGGCGGCAGGCCUAACACAUGCAAGUCGAACGAGUGGCGGACGGGUGAGUAAUGUCUGGGAACAUGCCUGAUGGAGGGGGAUAACUACUGGAAACGGUAGCUAAUACCGCAUACCAUCGGAUGUGCCCAGAUGGGAUUAGCUAGUAGGUGGGGUAAAGGCGAACCGAGGCGACGAUCCCUAGCUGGUCUGAGAGGAUGACCGGCAACACGGGAACUGGGACACGGUCCAGACUCCUACGGGGGGCAGCAGUGGGGAAUAUUGCACAAUGGGCGCAAGCCUGAUGCAGCCAUGCCGCGUGUAUGAAGAAGGCCUUCGGGUUGUAAAGUACUUUCAGCGGGGAGGCGUUACCCGCAGAGGAAGCACCGGCUAACUCCGUGCCAGCAGCCGCGGUAAUAC
rnacentral:rRNA from 1 species